GCUGGGCGUGCUGGCGUAUGCCUGUGGUCCCAGCUACUCAGGAGGCUGAGGCAGGAGGAUCACUUGAGCCCAGGAGGUCGAGGCUGCAGUGGGAUGUGAUCUUGCCACUGCACUCCAGCCUGGGUGACACAGCGAGACCCUGUCUCUA
rfam:Homo sapiens chromosome 19, GRCh38 reference primary assembly.